UACGUAGGGUGCAAGCGUUGUCCGGAAUUAUUGGGCGUAAAGAGCUUGUAGGCGGUUUGUCGCGUCUGCUGUGAAAUUUCGGGGCUCAACCCCGAACUUGCAGUGGGUACGGGCAGACUAGAGUGUGGUAGGGGGAGACUGGAAUUCCUGGUGUAGCGGUGAAAUGCGCAGAUAUCAGGAGGAACACCGAUGGCGAAGGCAGGUCUCUGGGCCAUAACUGACGCUGAGAAGCGAAAAGCAUGGGG
rnacentral:rRNA from 1 species